rnacentral:tRNA from 1 species
GCCUGGGUGGCUCAGUCGGUUAAGCGCCUGACUUCGGCUCAGGUCAUGAUCUCACAGUACGUGGGUUCGAGCCCCACGUUGGGCU